AAUGUUGUCCACCUAGCCAUUGAUGGGGAUCGUAGCACCUACUCUGCACACAAACAUUGAUGGGGAUCGUAGCACCUACCCUGCACACAGACAUUGAAUGGAACUGCCUGGUUCAGUAUCAGAAGAGUGAGGAGCACUGUACACCCGCUUAGAGAAGUUUCUCGAGAAGCAUAAUGAGGGACUUAUAUGAAUGGGCAGAAGAAAUUUUCUGAAAUCACCAGUCCAUAAUUGGGUGUUGUUGGCAGCUGAACACUUUCAUGAACAUUGCUGGGGUGUAGCAAUCAACAGUCCUCAUUUACCCAGAGAAGAGUCAGAGAACUCCCUGGGCCUUCAUGAGAUCGUGACACCCUGAAGUAGGAGCAGUUUCUACCAGUAUCUCUUAAAAGCAGACAGAGGUUCUCUUAGCAUCUGAUCCAUUUCUGGAGACAAACGUU